rnacentral:rRNA from 1 species
GAUGAACGCUGGCGGCGUGCCUAAUACAUGCAAGUCGAGCGAACAGACGAGGAGCUUGCUCCUCUGACGUUAGCGGUGGACGGGUGAGUAACACGUGGAUAACCUACCUAUAAGACUGGGAUAACUUCGGGAAACCGGAGCUAAUACCGGAUAAUAUAUUGAACCGCAUGGUUCAAUAGUGAAAGACGGUUUUGCUGUCACUUAUAGAUGGAUCCGCGCCGCAUUAGCUAGUUGGUAAGGUAACGGCUUACCAAGGCGACGAUGCGUAGCCGACCUGAGAGGGUGAUCGGCCACACUGGAACUGAGACACGGUCCAGACUCCUACGGGAGGCAGCAGUAGGGAAUCUUCCGCAAUGGGCGAAAGCCUGACGGAGCAACGCCGCGUGAGUGAUGAAGGUCUUCGGAUCGUAAAACUCUGUUAUUAGGGAAGAACAAAUGUGUAAGUAACUAUGCACGUCUUGACGGUACCUAAUCAGAAAGCCACGGCUAACUACGUG